CUGCCUUUGGCUGCACACAUACUAAAAUUGGAACGAUACAGAGAAGAUUAGCAUGGCCCCUGUGCAAGGAUGACAUGCAAAUUCAUGAAGUGUUCCAUAUUUUU
ensembl:snRNA U6 U6 spliceosomal RNA